rnacentral:rRNA from 1 species
UACGUAGGGUGCGAGCGUUAAUCGGAAUUACUGGGCGUAAAGCGUGCGCAGGCGGUUAUGUAAGACAGAUGUGAAAUCCCCGGGCUCAACCUGGGAACUGCAUUUGUGACUGCAUAGCUAGAGUACGGUAGAGGGGGGGAUGGAAUUCCGCGUGUAGCAGUGAAAUGCGUAGAUAUGCGGAGGAACACCGAUGGCGAAGGCAAUCCCCUGGACCUGUACUGACGCUCAUGCACGAAAGCCAGGGGAGCGAACGGG